CCCUUAGAUGUUCUGGGCCGCACGCGCGCUACACUGACAGAGCCAACGAGUUCUUCACCUUGGCCGGAAGGUCUGGGUAAUCUUGUUAAACUCUGUCGUGCUGGGGAUAGAGCAUUGCAAUUAUUGCUCUUCAACGAGGAAUGCCUAGUAAGCGCGUGCCAUCAGCACGCGUUGAUUACGUCCCUGCCCUUUGUACACACCGCCCGUCGCUACUACCGAUUGAAUGGCUCAGUGAGGCCUUCGGACUGGCUCAGGGAGGUUGGCAACGACCACCCCGAGCCGGAAAGUUCGUCAAACUCGGUCAUUUAGAGGAAGUAAAAGUCGUAACA
rnacentral:rRNA from 1 species